AGAAUCAACGCUGGCGGCGUGCCUAACACAUGCAAGUCGAACGAGAAAGUGGAGCAAUCCAUGAGUAAAGUGGCGCACGGGUGAGUAACACGUGACUAACCUACCCUUGAGUGGGGAAUAACUUCGGGAAACCUUAGCUAAUACCGCAUAAUACCCACGGGUCAAAGGAGCAAUUCGCUCGAGGAGGGGGUCGCGGCCGAUUAGUUAGUUGGCGGGGUAAUGGCCCACCAAGACGAUGAUCGGUAUCCGGCCUGAGAGGGCGCACGGACACACUGGAACUGAAACACGGUCCAGACUCCUACGGGAGGCAGCAGUGGGAAUUUGCGCAAUGGGGGAAACCCUGACGCAGCAACGCCGCGUGGAGGAUGAAGUCCUUCGGGACGUAAACUCCUUUCGAUCGGGACGAUUAUGACGGUACCGGAAGAAGAAGCCCGGCUAACUUCGCGCCAGCAGCCGC
rnacentral:rRNA from 1 species